rnacentral:rRNA from 1 species
CCUGUCGACGCAACGCCGCGUGGAGGACGAAGAUCUUCGGGUCGUAAACUCCUUUCGAUCGGGAAGAACGUUUUCCGGCCUAACACGCUGGAGAAGUGACGGUACCGAGAGAAGAAGCCCCGGCUAACUCUGUGCCAGCAGCCGCGGUAAUACAGGGGGGGCAAGCGUUGUUCGGAAUUACUGGGCGUAAAGGGCCAGUAGGCGGCCAACUAAGUCACACGUGAAAUCCCCAGGCUUAACCUGGGAACUGCGUGUGAUACUGGAUGGCUUGAAUUCGGGAGAGGGAUGCAGAAUUCCAGGUGUAGCGGUGAAAUGCGUAGAUAUCUGGAGGAAUACCGGUGGCGAAGGCGGCAUCCUGGACCGACAUUGACGCUGAACGGCGAAAGCUAGGGGAGCAAACGGGAUUAGAUACCCCGGUAGUCCUAGCCCUAAACGAUGAAUGCUUGGUGUGGCGGGUAUCGAUCCCUGCCGUGCCGAAGCUAACGCAUUAAGCAUUCCGCCUGGGGAGUACGGUCGCAAGGCUG